rnacentral:lncRNA from 1 species
CCUUUAUGGUGUGACUUAUUAAUUUGAUACCCCUAUAAUUGUUGCAGCACUGGAUGUCCCCUUUGUUCUUGGACAAGGGCACCACUGUACUCCAUCUCCACUCGUCCGGCAUCCUUUUGGUCCUGAAGAUCGCUUGAACAACCUGGAGAGCCACUCCCCCCCAGACUUACCCAUGCACUUCCAGAACUCCACCGGGAUCUCGUCAGGCCCGGUCGCUUGACCCCUACUCAU